UACGUAGGGUGCAGGCGUUAAUCGGAAUUACUGGGCGUAAAGCGUGCGCAGGCGGUUUUGUAAGUCUGACGUGAAAUCCCCGGGCUCAACCUGGGAAUUGCGUUGGAGACUGCAAGGCUGGAGUCUGGCAGAGGGGGGUAGAAUUCCACGUGUAGCAGUGAAAUGCGUAGAGAUGUGGAGGAACACCGAUGGCGAAGGCAGCCCCCUGGGUCAAGACUGACGCUCAUGCACGAAAGCGUGGGGAGCAAACAGG
rnacentral:rRNA from 1 species